rnacentral:rRNA from 1 species
GAGUUUGAUCCUGGCUCAGAUUGAACGCUGGCGGCAGGCCUAACACAUGCAAGUCGAGCGGUAGAGAGAAGCUUGCUUCUCUUGAGAGCGGCGGACGGGUGAGUAAUGCCUAGGAAUCUGCCUGGGUAGUGGGGAGUAACGUUCGGAAACGGACGCUAAUACCGCAUACGUCCUACGGGAGGAAAGACAGGGGACCGUUCGGGUCCGUUCGUCGCUAUCAGAUGAGCCUA